UUGCUGCUGGCUGCAACUGUGGACUACAAAUCCCAGAGGCUCCUGGAAGCAGGAAGAGGAAGUGAUGAGCAAUCCUGCAGAAUCCUGUUGCUCUGAUUUUGGACUGCAAAUUCCAGAGACCUCGGGGGCAGCAGGAAGAGGAAAUGAACAUACAGCCAGAGAGCCAGGCUCUAGCACCUCCCCCGCCCCUGACUUUCUGGCCUGAGCCAGUUGCAGGCAUGUGGCUGCAUUUCCUCAAUCAGAGCACAAGAAACAAAAAAUGCACUCCAAGACUUAUUAUGGACUACAGUCAAAGGUCCUGGAGCUGCAUGCAGGGAUGAGGUGAUCCUUGGCAGCCAUGAUGCAGCAUCAUGGUCACCACCACGCACAGCCAGGGCCCUGUGGAUGCACUGGCUUCUCCAGAUGAGGACCCUGGAUAGGAACCUCCUCCUGAACCACAUGGUCACAGCAUUGGAGGACCAGCUGGAGGAUGCUUGGGCUUUGUGGGCAGAGGACAUGGCCUGCCAGGACAGCUGGUGGGUAGAAGAUGUUGUCCACAAGGUGUAGGACUGGGAGUUCUGGGCUCUGCUUCUGGCUCGAGCAUGAGCAGGUGGAGGUCCUGCAGGAAUAAAAUUCCAUACUGGGCCCAGGCACUGCAGGCCAUGGAUGAUUACUGAUGGAUACUGGACAUUAUUCUGACCCUGGCCAUUGUGUUCGUGCCACCCGCUGCCUGGCCCGAACCCUAGUGCCACCUGGCCCCUGGUAGCCAGCCACCACCCAGCAGCAGGCCCCUGCCUGGGCCUGGGAGGAGUUCCUGCACUGCCUCCAUUAGCCAGUAUCCCCAUGUCUGGUACCUGUCCUGGAUUUGGUGCCACCCACCCCCUCCUGUUUGGGCCCAGCCCUGCCACUCACCCUGGCUCUACACAGAAGCAAAGCCAGAGCUGCCUGUAGUGGGUUCAAAACCGCAUGCCAGCCCUGAUGGCCCUGGACACUGUGCGCCAGAGGGGAAGCUGCCCAUGCUUGGAGACCACUAAUUGCUAUUGCCCCUGGGCAAGCCCCCCUCCUAUUGUGCUCACUAUAAUCUGUGAACCUGCAGGGGAUUGGCCAGAGGCUAAGGUGCUGGCUACCUGUCCCCAGGCUCUUCCCCUAAUCACCUCCUCUCCAUAGCUCCCAAUCCUGGGGUAGCAUACAAAGGACCAAAGUUUUCACUGGGAAGAAGGUGUUUUAUUGUUGGUGGGUGAGUUGGGUGCUGGAAGCGCUCUGUUUGUUGGGGAAGAAGGGGGGUUCUGUCUGA